rnacentral:rRNA from 1 species
UCCCGAAUCCUGACACAGGGAGGUAGUGACAAGAAAUAACAAUACAGGGCUACUUCUAGUCUUGUAAUUGGAAUGAGUACAACUUACAUCUCUUCACGAGGAUCAAUUGGAGGGCAAGUCUGGUGCCAGCAGCCGCGGUAAUUCCAGCUCCAAUAGCGUAUAUUAAAGUUGUUGCAGUUAAAAAGCUCGUAGUCGGAUUUCGGGUCGGGCCGAGCGGUCUGCCGAUGGGUAUGCACUGUUCGGCGCGGCCUUCUUUCCGGAGACCGCGGCUACUCUUAACUGAGCGGGCGUGGGAGACGGAUCGUUUACUUUGAAAAAAUCAGAGUGUUUCAAGCAGGCAGCUCGCUCUUGCAUGGAUUAGCAUGGGAUAAUGAAAUAGGACUCUGGUGCUAUUUUGUUGGUUUCGAACACCGGAGUAAUGAUUAACAGGGACAGUCA